AAAAUAUAACAAAAGGCUCGUGGGUCAAGAUAAGGACAGGGAGGAUCACUCACCAUUUACUGUCAUGGGCAAAACAGACUCGACUUGGGGAAAUUGGUUUAAUAUAUUACCAAUCAAAUCGAAACAGGAUAAUGA